GUCUGAUAUAUACGAUUUAAGGGAUGAGAUUGGUGAGAUUAGCAGGGGGCAAAUCGGCACGAGAAAGGGCCAAAAGAAAGUAAGAGUAGAGUUUGAAGAAAUGAGAGGUGUCGAGCCAAACUAAAAGAGGAAACUUAUAUAAUCUCUCUGCAGAAUACUGCAAAGCAACAUCGUCUAGAUCUGAAACAUAAGAUCAAGCAGAAGUUGGCUUGCUGCACUCUGCUGGGAGAUUAGAUUAGUUUCCUCUUCUAGUUUGACAGCCUCUUCUCUUAUUUCCUCAAACUUCUCUCUGACUUCCUUUUGCCCCUCUCUUGUGCGUUUUUGUCCCCCGCUAAUCUCACCCAUCUUGUUACUUUUUUCCAUCAGAAAGGAAACCAGAGAUUUAAAAUGCUUAAUUUUUGUCAUCUUGGUUCUGAAGCUGAAAUUCCUUUUCCAUAAUCACUAAUUGAUCAGGUAUGUAUGCUCUUUAUUUCUUUUGGGUUUUGUGCGUAUGCUAUUGUGUUGUUUGCAAGGAUUUUUAUAACCUGCAACAAGCCAACAAGCACCUUGUCCAAAAAAAAGCAUGCAAAGAUUUCUAUAUUAUGCUCUGUACCAGACAAGGGAGAAAGGGAAAUUUUCAUGAAUGAGACUUUCUGUUUUCUGGUCAUGAAUUUGGAUAUUCUUUGAAGUCAGAAUAAUCAAGAACGACAGGAGAUGUUCGCUCUGAUGGGACGGAAAGGGAAAGCGCAGCAGGUGGGGGAAAGGAGAUUAAUUUUCCGUGAAAGCAAUGUUUUCUAUAUAUUUGGGUUUACUUCCCGUAGAAUGACCGAGAAGAAAGAGAAUGGACUCUGGCAGAAGGUCAAUGCAGGGGCACAAUUCCUGGAAGCUUUUCUCCGUUUUCCUUCAAGGGCUAUUAUCAACUCCAGCCAGCUAUUCGCUGGACAAGUGAUAACACAUGCCCAACUUGUUCGGAAAGACUAAAAGCAAGGGAGAAGUCUAAUUGGGCUGCUAAUAGCAACAAGAGACAAAAGAUCCAUAGAGCAACAAAAAACUCUGCUGGUGUAUCCAGGGUAUAAACAUCAUGUUGUCACACGUCUUACCGUAUUUCGGACCUUAUAUUGUGUGAACGUGCGGCAGAAAGCUGAAUUCAGAAUAAUUUUUUUUUUAAUUUCCGAUCAUUAUACAAGGUAUGUUACACUCUUAACAAAUGUUAGAAUGAGUUGUUUCCUUGUUAUGUUGUUAAGAAGAUCAGGUUUUGUUC